rnacentral:rRNA from 1 species
UGCAUAUCAAUAAGCGGAGGAAAAGAAACCAACAGGGAUUGCCUCAGUAACGGCGAGUGAAGCGGCAAAAGCUCAAAUUUGAAAUCUGGUACCUUCGGUGCCCGAGUUGUAAUUUGAAGAUUGUACUCUGGAGUUGGCCCUUGUCUAUGUUCCUUGGAACAGGACGUCACAGAGGGUGAGAAUCCCGUGCGAUGGGGUGUCCAAUUCCAUGUAGAGUGCUAUCGAAGAGUCGAGUUGUUUGGGAAUGCAGCUCUAAGUGGGUGGUAAAUUCCAUCUAAAGCUAAAUAUUGGCGAGAGACCGAUAGCGAACAAGUACAGUGAUGGAAAGAUGAAAAGAACUUUGAAAAGAGAGUGAAAAAGUACGUGAAAUUGUUGAAAGGGAAGGUUAUUAGAUCAGACUUGGUGUUUGGCGAUAUUCAGCCUCUUGUAGGCUGUUCACUCGUCUUUCACUGGGCCAGCAUCGGUUUGGAUGGCAGGAUAAUGGCUGUUGAACGUGGCUCUUCGGAGUGUUAUAGCUUCAGCUGAUACUGCCUAUCUAGACCGAGGACUGCGGCUUUCGAGCCUAGGAUGCUGGCGUAAUGAUCUAAUAUCGCCCGUCUUGAAACACGGA